rnacentral:rRNA from 1 species
CGCGGCAAGACGGAAAGACCCCGUGAACCUUUACUAUAGCUUGACACUGAACCUUGAGCCUUGAUGUGUAGGAUAGGUGGGAGGCUUUGAAGUGUGGACGCCAGUCUGCAUAGAGCCAACCUUAAAAUACCACCCUUUAAUUUUUGAUGUUCUAACCUGGGUCCGUAAUCCGGACUGGGGACAGUGUCUGGUGGUAGUUUGACUGGGGCGGUCUCCUCCCAAAGAGUAACGGAGGAGCACGAAGGUUAGCUAAUCCUGGUCGGACAUCAGGAGGUUAGUGCAAAGGCAUAAGCUAGCUUGACUGCGAGAGUGACGGCUUGAGCAGGUACGAAAGUAGGUCUUAGUGAUCCGGUGGUUCUGAAUGGAAGGGCCAUCGCUCAACGGAUAAAAGGUACUCCGGGGAUAACAGGCUGAUACUGCCCAAGAGUUCAUAUCGACGGCGGUGUUUGGCACCUAGAUGUCAGCUCAUCACAUCCUGGGACUGAAGUAGGUCCCAAGGGUAUGGCUGUUCGCCAUUUAAAGUGGUACGCGGGCUGGGUUUAGAACGUCGUGAGACAGUUCGGUCCCUAUCUGUCGUGGGCGUUGGAGAAUUGAGGGGGUUGCUCCUAGUACGAGAGGACCGGAGUGAACGCACCACUGGUGUUCGGGUUGUCAUGCCAAUAGCAUUGCCCGGUAGCUACAUGCGGAAGAGAUAAGCGCUGAAAGCAUCUAAGCACGAACUUGCCUCGAGAUGAGUUCUCUCUUGUCCCUAGAGGACGCUAAAAGGCCGUUGAAGACGACGAUGUAGAUAGGCUGGGUGUGUAAGUGCAGCGAUGCAUUGAGCUAACCAGUACUAAUGACCUGUGAGGCUUAACCUUACAACGCCGAAGGUGUUU